rnacentral:rRNA from 1 species
GACGAACGCCGGCGGCGUGCCUAAUACAUGCAAGUCGAGCGAGACUCUUCGGAGUCUAGCGGCGGACGGGUGAGUAACACGUGGGCAACCUGCCUGUAAGACUGGGAUAACACCGGGAAACCGGUGCUAAUACCGGAUAAUCCUUUUCCUCUCAUGAGGGAAAGCUGAAAGUCGGUUUCGGCUGACACUUACAGAUGGGCCCGCGGCGCAUUAGCUAGUUGGUGAGGUAACGGCUCACCAAGGCGACGAUGCGUAGCCGACCUGAGAGGGUGAUCGGCCACACUGGGACUGAGACACGGCCCAGACUCCUACGGGAGGCAGCAGUAGGGAAUCUUCCACAAUGGACGAAAGUCUGAUGGAGCAACGCCGCGUGAGCGAUGAAGGCCUUCGGGUCGUAAAGCUCUGUUGUUAGGGAAGAACAAGUACCGGAGUAACUGCCGGUACCUUGACGGUACCUAACCAGAAAGCCACGGCUAACUACGUGCCAGCCGCCGCCGUAACAC